rnacentral:rRNA from 1 species
GGCUCAGGACGAACGCUGGCGGCGUGCCUAAUACAUGCAAGUCGAGCGGACCAAAGGGAGCUUGCUCCGGCAUGUUAGCGGCGAACUUAUGAGUAACACGUGGGCUUCCUGCCUGCAAGGCUGGGAUAACAUCGAGAAAUCGGUGCUAAUACCGGAUUAUAGAAUGAGCUUGUCUGGGAUUGGCUUCAAAGAUGGCUUCGGCUAUCACUUGUAGAUGGGCCCGCGGCGCAUUAGCUAGUUACUAAGGUAACGAUUUACCAAGGCGACGAUGCGUAGCCGAUUUGAGAGGGUGAUCUUCCACACUGGGACUGAGACACGGCCCAGACUCCUACGGGAGGUUGCAGUAGGGGAUCUUCCGCAAUGGACGAAACGUCUGACGGAGCAACGCCGCGUGAGUGAUGAAGGGCCCCGGAUCGUAAAGCUCUGUUGUUAGGGAAGACAAAGUGCUGUUCGAACAGGUAGGCACCUUGACGGUACCUAAAAUUAAAGCCACGGCUAACUACGUGCCAGCAGCCGCGGUAAUACGUAGGUGGCAAGCGUUGUCCGGAAUUAUUGGGCGUAAAGCGCGCGCAGGCGGUCUCUUAAGUAAGAUGUGAAAGCCCCCGGCUCAACCGGGGAUCAUCAUUGGCGGCUGGGAGACCAGAGUACAGAAGACUAGAGUGGAAUUCCACGUGUAGCGGUGAAAUGCGUAGAGAUGUGGAGGAACACCAGUGCCGAAGGCGACUCUCUACUCUGUAACUGACGCUGAGGCGCGAAAGCGUGGGGAGCAAACAUCCUUAGAUACCCUGGUAGUCCACGUUGUAAACGAUCCGUGCUAGGUGCCAGGGGUUUCCACACCCUUACUGAAGAAGCCAACACAUUAAGCACUCCGCCUAAUAAGUACGACCGCAAGGUUGCCACUCAAAGGAAUUGACGGGGGCCCGCACAAGCAGUAAAGCAUGUGGUUUAAUUUUAGGCAACGCGAAGAACCUUACCAUUUCGAAACAUCCUUUGACCACCCUAGAGAUAGAGCUUUCCCCUUCGGGGGACUUAGUCACACAUGGUGCAUGGUUGUCGUCAGUUCGUGUCGUGAGAGAUUCCGUUGCGUCCCGCAACGAGUCCGGCCCUUGAUCUUAGUUGCCAGUGUUCAGUUCACCACUCUAAGGUGACUGCCGGUGACGCCCCGGAGGAAGGUGGGGAUGACAACAAAUCAUCAUGCCCCUUAUGACCUGGGAGACACACGUGCAACAAUGGAUGGUACAAAGGGCCGCGAAGCCGUUUUUUGAAUCCGGUAUUAGAAAGCCAUUCUUAGUUGUUAUUCCAGGCUGCAACUCGCCUACAUGUUGCCGGGUUUGCUAGUAAUCGCGGAUCAGCAUGCCGCGGUGGGUACGUUCCCCUGCCGAGUACACACCGCCCGUCACACCACGAGAGUUUGUAACACCCACUGUCGGUGGGGUAACCUUUUGGAGCCAGCCGCCUAAGGUGGGCGCGAUGCCC